rnacentral:rRNA from 1 species
UACGUAGGGUGCAAGCGUUGUCCGGAAUUAUUGGGCGUAAAGGGCGCGUAGGCGGCUUUAUAAGUCGGGGGUGAAAGCCUGUGGCUCAACCACAGAAUUGCCUUCGAUACUGUAGAGCUUGAGACCGGAAGAGGUAAGUGGAACUGCGAGUGUAGAGGUGAAAUUCGUAGAUAUUCGCAAGAACACCAGUGGCGAAGGCGGCUUACUGGUCCGGUUCUGACGCUGAGGCGCGAAAGCGUGGGGAGCAAACAGG